rnacentral:tRNA from 1 species
AGGUAGUUAGUCCAACAUAAGACCUUUGAUUUCGGCUCAGAAAACCGCGGUUCGAGUCCGCGACUCCCUU